CCGUUGACUCGUCACUCCCUCGGCCGCCCACCAACCUCUGUCUCGUCGAGCUCAUCGGCUCCUCGCAAGCACCACCAGAUCACCUGGCCAGCCGCCGCGUCACUCCGGCCUCCGCUGUCAAUGGAUGCUGCCAUCGCGUUCACUUCCGCUCGGAACCCUAGCCCCACGCGCUUCUCCUCCUCCUCCUCCCCCGCUUCGCCGUCCUCGCACUUCCCCCAACGCCUCUGCGUCUGCAGCCCAUGGCGCGGGCGCGAGCGCCGGCUCCGCGCGCUCCGCCCUCAAUCCCAGAUCCAGGCCCCCGGGGCCACGUCCGCCGACACCUCCAACCACGAUGUGGUGGUCGUGGGGGCCGGAAUCGUCGGACUCACGAUCGCGCGCCACCUCCUCCUCCACACUCCGCUCUCCGUCGCCGUCGCUGACGCCGCCGUCCCCUGCUCCGGCGCCACUGGCGCAGGGCAGGGAUACAUAUGGAUGUCGCACCGGAUGCCCGGCAGUGACAUGUGGGAGCUAGCGGCGCGGAGCAAGCAGCUGUGGGAGGAGCUCGCGGCCGAGGUUGACGGCCAGGGCGGCGGCGGUGCGCGGGAGAAGCUGGGCUGGAUGAGGACAGCCUUAAAAUGCUCCAAGUGGGAAAAACGCCUAGGUGCUAGGCGAGGCAGUGGUGGACUGGUGAUCAGCUCCACGUAUGCAGAAGGGUUCACCUUUCGAAAACAGAGACGCUUGCUAGUUGGCAGAACUUCGGAAGAACUGGCCACAUUGGAGGAAAGGACCAAGGUUCUGUCCGAGGCAGGCAUACAUGCGGAAUUCUUGUCUGCCUCUUCACUACAUGCAUUAGAACCAGCACUCAGUGUUGAGAAAGAUGGUGGUGCUAUGUUCUUGCCUCAAGACUGCCAGAUUGAUGCGUUCCAGGCUGUCUCUUUGAUCGAAAAGACCAAUAACUCAUAUUCCUCAGAAGGAAGGUAUAUGGAGAUCUAUAAUGAUCCUGCCAUGUCAUUAAUAAGAUCGGAGGUUACUGGAACAGUUGAAGCUGUCCAAACUUCCAGAAACAUAUUGUAUGGCAGAAAAGCUAUUGUAAUUGCUUCUGGUGCCUGGACUCGAUCCUUAUUACAUAGUUUUCUCGAACCAGCUUUGACAUUGGAUAUUCCUGUCAAGCCCCGAAAGGGCCAUCUUCUUGUGGUGGAGAAUUUUGACAAGGUUAAGCUAAAUCAUGCCCUAAUGGAGGUAGGAUAUGUUGACCAUCAGGUUGCUAAGUCAAAUCACACACACAUGGCUUCAGAGUCUAGUGAAGAUGAGCAUGGUGCUUUAUCUAUAUCAAUGACUGCAACCGUAGAUGCAAAGGGAAAUUUGGUUCUAGCUGUUUGUUACAGGAAGCAGUCGGGAGUUCAAAGGGUUUUCAAGGGAGGUUGAUAAAUCAGUUGUUAAGUGUAUAUGGGAACGUGCAGGAGAGUUCUUUCCUGCAAUGAAGAAUGUUCCUCUUGAUAUUGAUCACAAUACACAGAUCAGAAUCGGGCAUCGCCCAUACAUGCCUGAUGGAAAGCCAGUUAUUGGCUUUAUUCCUGAUCUGCCAAAUGUUUUGAUUGCAACAGGACAUGAAGGAAAUGGGCUUACUAUGGCACUCGGCACUGCUGAAAUGGUCACUGAUAUGAUUCUUGGGAAUCCUGGAAAAGUGGACUGCUCACCUUUCUCCAUCAAACACAGAUUUUCAGGUUGACCGUUUAUCCGGAAGCCCUCCUUCAGCUCCUCAAGUGACAAAUUACCGUCAUUGUCCUUGUCCAUCGUAUUGAACAUCUGAGUGUAUUUGUCAAUCUCUUCCACUGGUAGAUUCAUGGCGACAACCUCCAUUCAUAAUUAGAAAUCGCUUCACAUUUAGUGUGUCGCACUUGAAGGAAAUAAGGGUACAAACAGCUAGUUAUCUGCAACUUACUCCAAGUGCCUUCUUCUUGAACUUGUUCAUGGACGAGAACUGCUUCAGACUGGACCGAACAACCUCCCCGAGUGACACAUUUGAAGCCUUAUCAGCAUUUUUGAGCCAAGGAUGCUCUGUGUUUUUAGGAGGGAAACUUGAGUCACAGUUCAGUAUGCAGCAUUGUUGGGCCGCGCUUUCCAAUAAUGCCAAUAAUAAACCAGAAGUUACCAAACUCUUAGUAUGCCUUUCCAUGAAUGGAAUGCCGUCUGCUCUUUCCA